AUCUCACGAGAAAGAUUUCCGCUGUUUGAAAAGCAACAACAUCAGCGAGCAGCCACGAGGAAAGCAUGUACCACACUCGUUUGGUCUUGUGUCAAAGCUGUGCGAAACUGGAGGGAGAAACUUGAGAGACCGUGCCGGAAGAAUGCUGGACAGAGUUCACUAAAAUUCAUUAAUUUCAAAGUUCAACAUGAAUGGUGGUGGUCCACUGCAGAAGCAAGCAUUUGAAAAAACAUCAGUUCUCAGUUAUUAAAGAUGCUGUGUUGAACAACUUCCCAGCAGCAACAGAACUGGAAGUGAAGGAUGCAAUGGGGGCAUUUCAAACAGGCACCAGGGAGCACGGGGGGGGGGGUAUAGAAAUUAGUACAAUUAAUAAGUUUACGU